rnacentral:rRNA from 1 species
AUGCACCGACAUCAACCACGUCCACGUCUAGCACAUCAGCCGACAACCAGGCCACCCCGUCCUGGCAGCAACCACAGCAAUAUGGUCCCACGUCGAGCUUCGUGUUUUCUCCACAGCCACAGCAACACGGUCCCUCGUCGAGCUUCGUGUUUUCUCCACAGCCACAGCAGCAUGGUCCCUCGUCGAGCUUCAUGUUUGAGCCAGAGCAAACGUCACAACCAACAGGAGACUACGGAUAUCAUGCGUCUAUGUCAGCAUCACAUGAUACGUGGGGGAGUGAUCAACAUCCCGAGGAGAACAUACAUGCUCAGAUGUCGCAGCACACCCAGUGGAUGA